rnacentral:misc_RNA from 1 species
GUUUUAGGAGAUAGUAUAUAACUGUGUCUUUUCUUUCCAACAACCACAACAACUUAGAACAUUAGUCAUUUGUAAUUAUUAUCUAUCUUGAGAGACUAUUAUCACCUUGAUUUUUUUGACCUACUUAUCAAUUUUGCUUGGAUCUCUAAGUUAUGAUAAUGGCUUCUUGCAUUUUCUUGUUUUAAUUUAUGAUCUAAUGAAUUCAGUUAAAGAACUGAUUACUUGAGUGUUUUA